AGUCCUUGAUAUAAAAGAGACCGUGUGAGAUGGCUUCAACUUCUGCCUCUUGAGAUGAAGAAACCCUAGCUGAACAGACGAAGCCCUCGAGUACUUGCCCCGACGAAUUCCUCACGACACCAGCAAUAUAGCAUAGAAACUCACCCGGUAUCCAAGAAGCGUCGACAUUCAUCUUCAGUUCACUUCGAUCAGGAGGUUUCCAUCGCCCAGGAGAUCUGUAGGUUUCGGAGCUUUUGAUCGAAAGAUCCAUUCGUUUCUUGCCUUCCAAAUGUGCCACAGAAGCAGACCGGUAUACUCUCUCUCGGGUUUUCUCUCGUGGGAAGGGCGUUUUGGCAGAGAGCCCAAAGAAAAGUUUUGAGUUUUGGGGGCACAGCAAGGCUCCAGAUGAUGGUCCAUAAGUGUCUCGGCCUAUUAACAGACUCCGCCAUCCCCAUGAGGGGCGUAUGCCUGUGCUUGCUGUCCAAAGAUCCCCUGUAGGAAAGUAGAUUCCUUUCAACACUCUACUACACAAGGCAGAAGGGGACGUUGAUAGCCGC